GAAAGUUGCCCUGCCUUGAUAUUCAGCAGAUAAUAUCAGAACCAUUGCAGCUGAAUACAUCAGGGUUAUUACAGAAGUUCCAACUAUAAUCAUACACUUCAGAGACCCUUUUAAGGAAUCCCUUUUCCUGGAACAUUGUGAUGCAUUUCCUUCCCCUGGCUUACACACCUGGGUUGUUUGUUUGUUUGCUUUGUUUCUCUCUGGGUUCUUAGCUGAUCCGGAUCGUCCAUUUCCAUGCUGACCAGAUACAGACCUGUUAGUCGAAUUUCCUUCUUUGCAGACUCUCUUGCAGCUAGAGGUAGAUAGCCAUGUGAGGGGAAUCUGGGAAAGAAGUAUCAAGAAACCGAAAACAGUUUGGCUCUUCCUGCCUAGGUGUGAUGUGAGAAGACAGGACUUGAACCUGUAGCCAUUGUGAGGAAAUGCAUUGAGCUGCAGAGACGGUGUCCCAGUUCCAUGGUGUUGAGCUGCUAACCUUGAGAAUCUUGGGCUCACAACCUCCCAGUUCCUUUGAGCACAAAGACUGGCAGGAACUGGGCAAUAAAACAACUGAGACAAAGUCAGCUCUAUCUAAGGUCAGCUAUAGUCUUAGAAGCCAGGUGUGAGGUCUUUACACUCCUAGGGCAAGGGCUUUCACACACAAGUCAUGGUCCUAAUUAGGGAGUUCCGCUCUAGCUAACCUUCUCAUGAAUAAUGCAAUACUCUAAAACCACAGCCGGAUCUACAUCCUAAACCAUUGUAAAUUCCUGCAUAUGGGAGUGACUUGGCUUUUAUUCUAAGUGAUAGUGUCGGGGGACUUUCUACUAAUAAGUAAUAUAGUCUGCCAUACAUAACUAUAUUAAGAAUUCUAAACUUACUUUGCUAAGCUUGCCCUGAGAUUUCUAACUCUAUGUAGUAGAUAGUAAUGCCUGAUUUCUUUCAGUAUCUCUCUUUCAGUACUAGAGGCAAUUCUGAAUGUCACUGAAUUCCAAUUCUGAAUGGCAACAUUCUUUCUGAAUUCAAAGCCCAUGGUCUGCUCAAGGACUACCUAGGGCAUUGGUGAAGGCCAGGAAGCAAAGUUCAAUUUUGCUGAGGUAUUUGGCAAGUCAUUGCUUGGAGGCACCUAUAACAAAACAAUACCGAAAAGAGAGCACACAGAUCCAUUCACAAGGACAAAAUUGGAGCAUACGUGCUAUGGGAUGCCACAGAUCCAGGAGACUACGUUUCUGUGAACUUUUCGCCUCGGACUGUGUCCAGGAUUUUAGCCUGUCAUGUGUGUCACUACUGGAGUGGAUGUAGCAUUCAACUAUUCAGUCAAGAUUCUUAAGAGCAUGUUCGAAGCUCUGGCAUGGCCCUUGCCCCAGCUUCUGUUGUGUUUUCUCCAGUCUGCACAAUUAGCACCUUGUGCUUUAGCUUUAUUCUCCUGAGCUGGGUUUAGAACGUAUCAUGAGACAAAGUACUGGAUGCAGCAGGGCUACACAGAG
rnacentral:lncRNA from 1 species